rnacentral:rRNA from 1 species
AGUGAACGCUGGCGGCGUGCUUAACACAUGCAAGUCGAACGAGAACGGGUUAUAGCUUGCUAUAAUUGUCAGCUAAGUGGCGCACGGGUGAGUAAUGUAUAGGUAAUAUGCCUCUUACUAAGGGAUAACAAAUGGAAACGUUUGCUAAUACCUUAUACUCCUUAUUAACAGAAGUUAAUAAGGGAAAGAUUUAUUGGUAAGAGAUUAGCCUGUAUUGUAUCAGUUAGUUGGCGGGGUAAUGGCUUACCAAGACUAUGACACAUAACUGGUUUGAGAGGAUGAUCAGUCACACUGGAACUGAGACACGGUCCAGACUCCUACGGGAGGCAGCAGUGGGGAAUAUUGCACAAUGGACGAAAGUCUGAUGCAGCAACGCCGCGUGGAGGAUGACACAUUUCGGUGCGUAAACUCCUUUUAUAUGAGAAGAUAAUGACGGUAUUAUAUGAAUAAGCACCGGCUAACUCCGUGCCAGCAGCCGCUGUAACAC